UCUUGGUGUGGAUCCACUUGGUGCAGGUCCUCUGGGAGGGUGUCUUGCUGGUGUUGGCGGGGUGUCCAUUUCUCUGUUGCUCCUGUGUGAGGUGCUGGGGCUCCAGGGCCCCCCUCUAUGUAAUACAUGUCUUUGUUGUUACGUACAUCUCUUGGAGGAGGGAACGCAACACCCCGCUGCAUCUCAACUCCCCGUGGAGUGAAAAAAAGUAUGUGAACAACAGAGGCAGAGAAAAAUACCAUUUACAGGGAAUGUAUUAUUCCUUACCACGGUAAUGUGGGGGAAAGGGUCUGGACGGAACCAAAGCAAGUAAAAGUAACAGUUGAGUCCCCUCUCCUACCUUAACUGCCUUCCCACUUCUUACCUAACUUUAACAAGUUCAAUAACCAAAAACACUAAGUCCUAUUGGCAUACACAUACCUCCGAAGGAGCGGCUACAAAAUAGUAUUCACAAAACUUUUACUGACCACCACAACAAUCAACACAGGACAUAAAAAGAAGCUCUCCCCUGACGAAGGAACACUGGCUUUUAUCAAGCUGGAGAAGGAGUUGCUAAUGAAGAGACAGCUGAAUCCCUGACGAGAGGGAGGUGUCAGAGCUCCAAUCAGCGAUGGGGCCGACCAAUCAGCCGCUUUAGGAUUCCAGGAAGCCAUUUCCUGAAAUACACACACAUACAAACCCACAACAACACAGAAACUGGGGGACGUAACAUUUGUCCAUCUGUGAACCCAUCUGUCUCUCUGUCUCCUAUGGUCUUUAUCCAUCCCCACACACAGUGAGAAGUGAAAGUUAGAGUCACUUUGGGACAAGAGCAGUCCAGUUUACUCCAGUUCUGUGACUCACUGUGAGCACUGGGACGAAGUGCCAAAUAAAAAAAGCCUCUCAUCUGA